CAAGUAUUUUAUCUGGAAUAUACUCUAAAUUUAAAAAAGUGUCCUGUAUGGCCUCACAUGACGAACUACUACCAAUUAUUCCAAAAGGCAGAUUUAAGAAAAUAAAGAGAAGCAAAACAGUAACUCUAAAAAUUGUAACAUAAAUGAGCUUCUUCAUCAUGGAACAUAACUACAGUUUUGCCCCAAAACAAAUAUACACAUAUAUAUUUAAUUUAUUUUUUAAUUGGUUAGGGGGAAGGAAGGGAAGAGAAAGAUACUUUUACCACUUUUAUUGCUUCAAGAACAUCAUUGACUUAAAACAAAUUAUAGGCAUGGCUCUAAGAAGUUAUUAGAAGACAGCUGUGUUACUUCCUUGAAGAGUUAAUCCACUCUUUAAUAGCAUGAGUCAGAUCUUUAGGUCAGUUUAUGAGCAGUUAUUCAGUUAUAAAUACCAAAGAUAAGCAUAUGACAGUCAAGUUUAACAGAUGGGGGGAAAGAGGACUAGUACUGCCAAAUGGAAGAGUUUCCUUCACAUAUGAGGUCACCAAAUAAUAAAUGGUUUAAAAAAAAAGUAAUCCCUGCAUUUUUGUAUGCUGCACAUACUUUUUUCCCCCCCAAUUUGUUAGCAUUAUUAGAUGUCCAUGGAAUUAGUCUUAUUUAAAAAAAAAACUAACCAACAUAUAAUUUCAGUAGUUGUAUACAAAUGUAAGAACUCAUUAUACUUACAUUUGAGAGAAAUAUCUAACUACAUGUAUGAUUUUAUAUGGUAAUCCUAUGAAAAAUCUACUUCAAAAUACAUCAUUUUAUCACUGAAAAGAAGGGAAUGAUUAAAUCUUAGGAGGCAGUUUUAUUGCAACCUGUUCUGCCUAACACUCAGAUAUGUAGAAAUACACAAUCACCUUAGAGGCAAAGUUGUGUUAAAAACAAAGAUGUUCCAUAAGCUAUUAUAAACUUGCCUAAGCCAGAUUUUACAGUCCAUGGAAAAAGGAGUGUCAGAAACAUUCAAAUUGUCACCUGCUUUUAGCAUUCUGCAGUACUCCUUCCACAGUUCUCACCAUUUUGUCUCCUCAUCUUCAGACUCAAUCGCUUCCCUAACAAAGGGAACCAAUAUUAUGGCUCAUCUCAACUUCCCCAGAUAUUUGGUAUUCUGAACACCAGGAUACAUGUAUGGAGCUACUCACCUCCUGGUCCAAAUAAGAGAAAAUUCCAUAUCCUCAGGAACAAGAAAUUAAACAAAUCCAUUAACCCUACCCUUGCCGAUUACAUACUCAAGUAAAUUUAAACCACAUAAGAAAAUUACAUCAUUACACAUAUCCACAAAAAGAGUUAACACAAGAAACAAACCGAACGUAAAGGGAAAAGUUACAGUAAGAUUUAAAUGUAGAGAUGUAUAU